UAUGUGAUCGUCUCUCGCAUAUCAAUAAGCGGAGGAAAAGAAACUAACAAGGAUUCCCCUAGUAACGGCGAGUGGAGCGGGAAGAGCUCAAAUUUGAAAUCUUAAAGGGUUUCCCUUUACGAAUUGUAGUUUAAAGAAGUGUUUUCCUGUUGAGGUUUUGGUAAAAGUUCUUUGGAAUAGGACAUCAUAGAGGGUGAGAAUCCCGUAUUUGACCUUUACUUUCAACUUUGUGAUACACUUUCAAAGAGUCGGAUUGUUUGGGAAUGCAGUCCAAAAUGGGUGGUAAAUUUCAUCUAAAGCUAAAUAUUGGCGAGAGACCGAUAGCGAACAAGUACCGUGAGGGAAAGAUGAAAAGAACUUUGAAAAGAGAGUUAAACAGUACGUGAAAUUGUCAAAAGGGAAGCGUUUGACGCCAGUGUUGUUUUUCUGAAAAUCAAUUAAAGAACUGUUUAUGCUAAGCUGUUUAGACUUUAUCAGCUAUCUGUUUAGUUUUGAGCUUUUCUUUAAUGCACUUUUCAGUUAACAAGUCAACAUCAAUUUCUUUUGCUGUAAAAAAGCUUGAGGAAGGUGGCUUGAGAUUCGUCUUAAGUGUUUAUAGCCUCUUGCCUAUGCAGUCGGAGAGAUUGAGGUCUGCAGCGUAGAUCCUUCGGGGCUAAAUGCAUUUGUGCUAAGUUAUAGCAUUUUAUAGACAACUUGUUGACUAUGAUUUGUCUUGUAGCUUACUCGCUUAUGUUAUUUUACCUACGCUUAGGAUGUUGAACGCGCACAGAGUCUC
rnacentral:rRNA from 1 species